GUUUGAUCAUGGCUCAGGACGAACGCUGGCGGCGUGCCUAAUACAUGCAAGUCGAGCGGACCAAAGGGAGCUUGCUCCUGGAGGUUAGCGGCGAACGGGUGAGUAACACGUGGGCAACCUGCCUGUAAGACUGGGAUAACAUCGAGAAAUCGGUGCCAAUACCGGAUAAUAAAAAGAACUGCAUGGUUCUUUUUUGAAAGAUGGUUUCGGCUAUCACUUACAGAUGGGCCCGCGGCGCAUUAGCUAGUUGGUGAGGUAACGGCUCACCAAGGCAACGAUGCGUAGCCGACCUGAGAGGGUGAUCGGCCACACUGGGACUGAGACACGGCCCAGACUCCUACGGGAGGCAGCAGUAGGGAAUCUUCCGCAAUGGACGAAAGUCUGACGGAGCAACGCCGCGUGAGUGAUGAAGGUUUUCGGAUCGUAAAACUCUGUUGUUAGGGAAGAACAAGUGCCGUUCGAAAGGGCGGCACCUUGACGGUACCUAACGAGAAAGCCACGGCUAACUACGUG
rnacentral:rRNA from 1 species